rnacentral:rRNA from 1 species
AUAGUGGCGGACGGGUGCGUAACACGUAAGCAAUCUAUCUUCGGGACGGGGAUAACGCGCCGAAAGGCGCGCUAAUACGCGAUAAUGCAGCGGGACCGCAUGGUCAAAGUUGUUAAAGGAUUUAUCGCCUGAAGAGGAGCUUGCGGCUGGUUAGUUAGUUGGCGGGGUAACGGCCCACCAAGACGAUGAUCAGUAACUGGUCUGAGAGGAUGAUCAGUCACACGGGCACUGAGACACGGGCCCGACUCCUACGGGAGGCAGCAGUAGGGAAUAUUGGGCAAUGGGCGCAAGCCUGACCCAGCCACCCCGCGUGAACGAUGAAGGUCCAUCGGAUUGUAAAGUUCUUUUCUCAAGAAAUAAGGGCUCAUUAGAUGGGCAUUGAAGGUACUUGAGGAAUAAGCGACGGCUAACUACGUGCCAGCAGCCGCGGUAAUACGUAGGUCGCAAGCGUUGUCCGGAUUUAUUGGGUUUAAAGGGUGCGUAGGCGGUUUUGUAAGCCGGCGAUGAAAUGGAGGGGCUUAACCCCAUCCGCUGUUGCCGGAACUGCAAGACUUGAAAUCGGUUGAGGUUGCCGGAAUGAGUGGUGUAGCGGUGAAAUGCGUAGAGAUCACUCAGAACGCCAAUUGAGAAGUCAGGCAACUGGACCGUAUUUGACGCUGAGGCACGAAAGCGUGGGGAUCAAACAGGAUUAGAUACCCUGGUAGUCCACGCUGUAAACGUUGAUGACUCGAUGUCGGGGCUUUAUGUUCCGGCGUCCAAGCGCAAGCGAUAAGUCAUCCACCUGGGGAGUACGCUCGCAAGGGUGAAACUCAAAGGAAUUGGCGGGGGCCCGCACAAGCGGUGGAGCAUGUGGUUUAAUUCGAUGUACGCGAGGAACCUUACCUGGGUUUGAAUGCGCGUGAACCCUUUGGAAACAGAGGGGACCCGCAAGGGACACAAAGCAAGGUGCUGCAUGGCUGUCGUCAGCUCGUGUCGUGAGAUGCUGGGUUAAGUCCCGCAACGAGCGCAACCCCUGUUGUUAGUUGCCAGCAUUAAGUUGGGGACUCUAACAAGACUGCCUGCGUAAGCUGAGCGGAAGGAGGGGACGACGUCAAGUCAUCAUGGCCCUUACGCCCAGGGCUACACACGUGCUACAAUGGCCGGUACAGAGGGCAGCAAGAGCGCAAGCUGGAGCGAAUCCUUAAAACCGGUCUCAGUUCGGAUUGGUGUCUGCAACCCGACACCAUGAAGCUGGAAUCGCUAGUAAUCGCGGAUCAGCAAUGUCGCGGUGAAUACGUUCCCGGGCCUUGUACACACCGCCCGUCAAGCCACGGAAGCUGGGGGCGCCUGAUGCCGGAGUUUUCCUCCGUCCAGGGCGAAACUGGUAACUGGGGCUAAGUCGGAACAAGGUA